GGGGGGGCAAGCGUUUGUUCGGAAUUACUGGGCGUAAAGGGCGCGCAGGCGGCCCGGCCAGUCCUACGUGAAAUCCCACAGCUCAACUGUGGAACUGCGUGGGAUACUGCCAGGCUUGAGUCCGGGAGAGGAGAGUGGAAUUCCCAGUGUAGCGGUGAAAUGCGUAGAUAUUGGGAGGAACACCGGUGGCGAAGGCGGCUCUCUGGACCGGCACUGACGCUGAGGCGCGAAAGCUAGGGGAGCAAACGGGGAUUAGAUACCCCGGUAGUCCUAGCCCUAAACGAUGAGCACUUUGUGUGGCGGGUAUCGACCCCUGCCGUGCAGAAGCUAACGCAUUAAGUGCUCCGCCUGGGGAGUACGGUCGCAAGGCUG
rnacentral:rRNA from 1 species